CAAGACACAAUUUUGUUUUGAAAAACAACACAAGAAAGCUAGCCUGAGUUCAAGUCUGAAAUAUUCAGAAAAAUCCUACUAAUAUCUUUAGUAUGUUCCAGUCAUUUUUUUUAAACAACACACUAAAAGUUAAUAUAUAUUUUUAUAAUUAUAAAAGUUCCCCAGUUAUUGUACAGUACACAAUACAAAUUGCCCACAAACUAUCAUUUAGCUCCUGCCAAUUUGGAGAGGACAUUAUAUACUAAAAGAUUUAGCAUUUCUCACAAAAAUCACAUCAGGAAAUACGUAUUUACAAAACCCAAUACAUUAUACAAAAAAAAAGAAAGAAAACAAGAAAAUCAUCACAUGGUAUUCUCCAAUAAGUCUUAAAUAAAAUGCUUAUUCAACUGUAAUCCAAAAACUGGAAAAGAACAUUACAUUAUCACACACAUACAAUCGCUACUGAAGAAAAGUAAAAGCUGGUUACCUUACAUUUGUAAAGUAUUAUUUCCAUAUGCCAAAAAAAACUAACUAAAAUAUCUCACUGUUACUAUGCUUCUGUGUUUGUGGACUGUGUUAAUGUCCUCUGCUACUUACCAAGUGAAGAAAAAAUGGCACUUAAAAGAAAAAAAAAACUUAACAAAACAGAAGAACAUGAUAUUAUGAAGUUUCUAGGGUAAGAAAGCCCUGAGGAGUCUCGGAUGAAUGGCAUGGAAUAUUGUGUAGGUAGAUACCAUGGACAGCUAAGUACAGGCACCAACUGUUCAGGGUGUUUUCUCAUUUACUUCUACCAUGAAGGCACUCAGUGUUAUCUCUUUCUCAGGUGAAUUAAAGCAUUGGCUUCAGUGCUGGUGCCAGGCAAGAUAUCAACACAUCAAUGGUUCCUCAGCCUUCAGAGGGACCAAGAUCAGAGUAGCCAAUUUUAAGCAGAAUGCAUUUUAAUUUAAGGCAUAUGCAUUCUGAAAGACACAUCAUUCUUCAUAAAUUUAAUACAGUCAUUUUCAUGCACUAGAUGACCUGUUGUCAAUGAUCUAGAGUUGUACAAAAUGUAUUAAUUCUCUAGAUAGGUUCCCCUGAUUGCUUGUGGUAACAUCCAGGUGCCCCACAUGUGUGCGUGUGUGUGUAUGAUAGAAGCCUGAUUAAUUGGGUAGCAGUUAUAGUCAACUGAUACUUGGCUAUAAGAAAAAUAAUAAUUUCAUCUGUAUUUUUUUCUACGUAGGCAUUAAGAAAACUUGUGGGGCAUAAACUAUUAAAGUUUGUUGAGCUACACCAAGAUUUUUACGAUUUGAUGGCUGUGCCAAUAUUUGUUCUUUUUUAAAGUUUAUUUAAGAAAUCUAGAAAAACAUCAAGUAUUGCCCAUGGCAUCUUUAGGUAGCGAAGAAGCAGAAGGGCCAUUCUCUGUGCCACGCUAAUGUCUCAUCCUUGUGAACUUGAGCAUGUUAGCUCCAUGGGGACACUGGGAUGGACAAUUUAGACUUCUUUUGUCAGUAGUUUUGAACUCAGGGCUUUCAUUCCCAAGAUUUUAAACGCCAGUGUUAAAAUAAGGCAAGUUGCACAUUACAUAAAUAAACCAUUUAAGAAUCAAACAGAACAAAACUAAACCAGGCAGUCACUUUGCAAGUGGCUUUUACUACGAAAAAUAGGUAAACUAUACUCAUUUCUAUACUGGCACGUACACCCACUAGCAGCAAUGAUCAAGGCAUGCAAACUGAGAAGCAUUUACAGUAAAUCAUUGUGAAGAUCAACAUAAUAAAUCAUCAAAACUACAACCCUUUGAGUAUCGUACAGCUGCAUGAAACGAAGCAUGAAGUAAUGUAGAGAGCAGCCAUGGGGAUCUAACCAAGACCUAGUACUAUGAAGACUACAGAGUGAAACUUUUAAUGGAGUCAGUGAGGCUAAUGCAAUCUAUACAAUGCAUCCUGCAUUGUUUAUUUAAAUAAGGUCUAAAUUUCUGCAUAAACUGUAAACAGUCUGUCUUUGGAUGGCUCUGUGUUAGUCCUAUGUGUUUUGGUUACAGUCGGUGUUACUUUGAGCCGUACUCUGCUAUCCAUACUGUAUUCAAGGCUAUCUCUGUAUGAAUAUGUGAAUUUUAUUUUUUUGUUCUAAGAACAAAAAAAUAUGCACAUGUACUAUAGACAACAGUGCUCUAUUUUACAGAUAUUGAAUAAUUCCAAUGCAUACAUGAAGGGUAGUGUUACAAACAAUUUUUUUCAGUAGGUUUACAGAAGACACCAACAUAACUUUACUAACUGCCUGAAAAUGAAAUAAACUGAAAAGAUCCUAUGAAACAAGUCUGUUAUCACAGCACUUAAAAUUGUGCUAUGCAGACAAGGCUGUCCUGUGGCUAUUUUCAUUUACAACACUUAAUAGGCCUGCAUAAAGUCCAAGGAUAUGUAUAAGAAAGAAAAACCAUGAAAAAAAACACAGAAAAUUAUCCAUGUAGGCAUCAUAUUUAGUAAAUGAAAAUAAAUGUCCGAUAAUGAAAUGGGCAUAGAUAAAAUAAACAUGCUACUAGGUCAGUGGUUCUUACUCUCUACGUAGGAACAUGGAGGGCCACUGCUAUUUCUGUAUGUCCCCAGUGAUGGGAACAAUGGAAACCCUUGUGUCACUGCAAAGAGUUCAUUAAAAGUGUUUUGCAGGAUUACAUCUGUAUAUAUUUUAUUACUAUGGUACAGUGGGUCACUGAACUCAUUACCAAGAUAAUUUAGGUCUCUGUCAAGAAAAGGUUAAGAACCAUUGUACUAUUUGAACAUAUUUUGCAUGGAGAGAAAAUUAACUGUGUACCUGACACGAUUACUCAUAAAAAUAUUAAUGGCUCUAGAGAAAAACAAAAAAAUGGAUUUUGUACCAAUCUGUACUGCAUAUCUGCAUUACAAUGUGUGUGGAUAAAUGAUUGCAGUACACAGUAUACUCAGUAGUUGCAUCUUAUGCAGCCUAUGAGCCUAAAUGAAAGGCUUUGAAUGUUUGUAAAUGGGGCUAUCUAUAGUCCAACAUAUGUUUACCUGUCUACCAUCACUCUAUAGAUCAUACUAAUCCUGAAUUUUACAAUGCUCAAAGGGUUAUUCAAAGGUGUUCUAGUACUACUACACAAUUAUGUUUCUAUUCCAGUUUUUUUUUUUUGUCUUUUUAUACUUAAAAUAUUUAGUGCAGGUGUUUGGAAUCUUACUUGUCAUAUAUUUUGAAAGAAAUUGAAUGUAUUUUUGGGUGUUUUUUUUUUUUUUUUAAAUAUAUACUUAACCCUUACAGAACAGGGAGUUGCUAUUUAGCACAAAUGGCAAGUCUCUUUAGAAAUAAACAUCUAUACCUCUAUUAAAAAGAAAAACUGCAAAGUUACUUCAUGAUUGGAUUACAACAGAAGGUAAAAUUGUGUUUUCAGUGUUGCAGUUAAAUUAUGAUAUACGGUGUCAUAAAAGCAGUGCCCAACACAAUGCAUUUAUAAAACAUUUGUUAAAAAAUAUCUGUUACUGAGUUAGCUCAGCUGACUAAUAAACCAUCCGAUGGGCCUGUUUCAACCUGAGGGCUGCAUGUUUGAGUCUAGAAAGGGUUAAACCAGCCUAUCCAAUAGAAAUCUGAGAGCACUGCAAAUCAUAUUGGAGAGUAAUGCUCUAAUAAAAGAACAUAAUAUUCGUAUUUGGUGAAUGAAAAGUGUAAAACACAAAGAAAGCUGGCUGUAAAACUCUUUCGUAUAACAUGUCUCAGUGUCAACACAACCUGAUACUUAAAACUCUAUUUUUUGAUUAUGUUUUAUGUUUUGUGUGCUUUUGCACAGUAAAACGAUUAGUGGAUUACAACCGGUUUACUGUUGUUUAGGUAGAUUUUUACCUCCUCUAAGUCAGUGGUUCCCAAACCAGUCCUCAUGACCCAACAGCAGUCAGCUGUUGGUCGUAUUUCCAUUAAUUUAAUUGGAUUAAAAAAGGGGAAACACAUGAAUUCUGGACUGUUGGUGGGCCAUGAUGACUGAUUUAGGAACCACUGCUUUAGAUGGAUUUUAAGCUAUGAGACAUUUUAAAGUGUUCUUUGCAAAUUUUACUUUUAAAGGCAGACAUGAGGAGAAAACUAAAAUUAAGGUUUAGCACUAAAAAGUACUGGUGUGGGGAGAUGAGGUGCAAAGCAUAAGUAUAAAGCAGAUAACAGCAAUCCAGUGCAUAUUGGAGCAAUGUUCUCCUACAGCAAGUAUCACCAUUUAAGCAAAAUAAAUAGAUAAAUUAACCAACAAAUUAAAGGUGAUACGGGAAAUGUUGAGCAAUAAAAAAAAAUGUAUACGCAAGAUUAUAGUCAUUGUUAAAAAGUUUCAUGCAAUGUUAUAACGGAAAGUGUCAUUAAUACAAAUCAAGAUAAUAUUUUUUAAGAAAAUAUCAGUUAAUUAGCAACAUUCAAGUAGGCCAUGCAACGAGAAAAAAGAAAAAAGUCCCAUAACAUUAAAAAGAAGAAGAAAAAAAACAGACACAAGACAAACAAAGCGUGGCUUAUUUAAUUCCAACUAAGCCAAGCAAAUGGCCACUGGUUCAUACCAGAGUUGACGCGAAGUAUGAAUACAAACUAUAUUAAAUACAAAUAAGAAUUUUCCCUUUUAGUAUAUGUGGAUGUUUUAUAUCAAAAUUAUAGCCCAGUAUCUUGAGCCUUUAAAACAUUGAAGCAUAGAAUUUGACAGAAGUUUUUUUUUUUCAAGUUCUCCCAAUAUAUUUCAAGAUCUGGUUACUUUGACAUGUAUUUUUGAUUAAAACAAAUAAUUGUAAAUUUAAAAUGUUGUUUUAUUUUAAAUUUAAUCAACUCAUCUUCUACUAUAUUCAAGUGAUUUAACAGUGCAUGGACUAUAGCAAUCCCAUCGGAAAUUAAGCCAAAUGUGAUGUUAAUUAUUUUUGGCUCAAAAAGCACAUUUUCUAUAUUCAGGUUUGUUUUUUUAAGUUUAGUUAACUUUUUAUUAUUCUACUUUCAAGCAUGGACCUAAUUAAUUAAUCAGCCCAGUGAUAAAAUGCUGUAUUCUUACACUUUCUGCUUAACAUGAAAUCACAGCCCAACCAAAACAUAAAAAUCUAAAUUAAAUCACUGAUGAAGAUAGAGGAGAGGCUCAUCACUCAAUAUGCCAUUGAUAUAAUUGAAAUCUCAUAAUUGAUCUACUGAGUGUAUGCUCUUCAAUACUCACAUGCAAAGUGGAAACUAAUCAGUAAAACUUAAGCCCCUUCUCAACAAAUUAACUAGUAAUUGCAUUUAGGCCUAAUAUAUGUUUGAAAAAUAACUGAACAUUCUGUUUCAACUGGAGAGGAUUUAUUUAUAUGACCGAAUGACUUUCCCAUCUUGUUGUGUACUAGGAAUUUAAAAUGGAUAAACAAGCAAAGGAUACUUCUCUGUACAAUUGUACAGACUGGAUUAAAACGUAUGAAUGGGACACUGUGAUUUUAUUUUGAUACACCAUAUGCUCUAACAAAGCCACAUCGAGAUGGCAGACAACUGUAUUACCCUUGAGUAAUUUAAGGAAUGUUGCACUUUUGCACAAACUUUUACACGUCAUCUUGAAGAAGUUUUUUUUUAAUUAUUACAGAAAAAACUAUUAUGUAUUCCUUGCAAUAGGAUUAACAAAAUACAUUUGUUUUGUUCACAUCUGUUUACUAGGGUGGCCAUUUGCAAUAUUUAUGUAUUUUAGUAAUAAUUGAUCCAUAUGCCCCUCUUUCUUUUCAACAUUAAAGGGACACUAGUCACCGGAACCACUACAGCUUAAGUCCUUGCAGGAUUUUUUAUGUAAACACUGCCUUUUUAGACAAAAGGCAGUGUUUACAUUGCUGCUUAGUAACACCUUUAGUGGCAGUCACUCAGACAGCUAUUAGAGAUGCUUCCUAGUUCGUGAUGCACAGUGUGCAGCACUGGCAUUCAGCUUUUCUAUGCUUCGAGUUUAAAACCUUUUCAAAGUGAUAUGAGGGGGGCUGGGGACGUUUAAUCCUAUAGUGUCAGGAAUGUGUUUUUGUUCUUGAUACUAUAGUUUUCCUUUACUUGCAAAGAAUCCACCUUUUUCAAAUUAGACAAUGUAUUGUUCCAGUACUCUUUGGGAUUUAUUCACUGAGCUCAGCAAUUUUUUUCUCCAAAUUAAGCCAUUUAACCUAUUUUACUUACUUAUUUUUGGUUUCCAGGUCAUCACUAGAUUAAGUAAGUUUUCCCCCAUUAUUUUACUGCUGAGACACAGCUAAAUUAGGCAUUGCUUCCUGCCCCAAACCACACCUUGCCAGACAUCUGUGUGGAUGUGUAAAAUGUGUGUGUGUUUAUGCAUAUAUAUGUGAUUUUAUAUGUGAUUUAUAUAUAUCAAUGUACAUGUGAUGUGUGAUCGAGAGUACAUGCAACAUAUGUGAUUACAAAUGUGAUGUGUUUGUAUGACUCUAUAUUUGAUUUGUGUUAUAUUACUGUAAUGUGUAUUAGUGGCUAUAUGGGAGACUGCUUACUUACAUGUAAUAUGUUCAGUCUAUGAGCCUUACAUAAAUAUGCAGUCAUACAUGCACACACAUUGUAAUGAAAACUACACUCAUAUUAAAUUGCAGUGUAAGUGUGAAUGCAGGUUAUAUUGCAUACUCAAUCUUUAGGUGAGCCACAUGAGGAAAUAGGGAAAGCAACUGGUUACAAUGAAAAAUAGGCGGGAGUCCAAACAUAUCGACAAAAUAUCACUGACUAGAUCCCAAUAUAAAAUCUAUAAUCAUUCAGUGGUUUGUUGUUUUUGUUUAUAUUCUACAUGUUAAAAAAAAUAUUUAUGUGAAUAAGAAAUAGCUACAGCUAUGCAAUUCUUUUUUUAAAGGACAGGUCAUUGCCUCCCAUGGAUCACAAAAAUUUAAAUGACAGAUUUGUGCUCAGAUCUUGUUUCUCCUUAAAGGCCAGAGAAAAUGUAUAUGUAUUAGUUUUAAAAAAAAUCUUUUUUUGUUGUUUGUGACUCACCAAAAUGACAGUUAUCGCUAUGUCUUGAACUAAACCAAACAUGAUUCACUUUAGAUCCUUAUUAAUGAUGUAUUAUGUUUGCAUUGCUUUGUGCAUGGACAAACCAUGUGGCGAAGGCUUAUAUAGGCUGCCAUACUUUGGCUCCUAACGCGUUCCAUGCUCCCACUGAAAGGCUGCAAAAAUUAUGACCCAUCUAACAGUUGCUCUGGAUAGCAAUUUUACUGACAUAAUAGCACAUUUCUGUUUUGUCUACUGACUGCAACUUGAAUCCAGCAAUACGUACAGGGCACUCAUGUUGUUUUGGAUAAGACUUGGCCGAUUCAGUUUCCUAACUCUGCAGCUAGCCCUUGGGCUAUCAGGACUAUGCUCACAAUUCCAAAAUACUACUGUUUGUACUAAAGCGAAAAUCACUGAGAUACAAAAUGGGGGAACGGGUGCGACUAUUUAGCAACAAGUAUUACCAGUACAAAAAUUAGGACUCUUCCCACUUUAUGGGGUUUUUAAAAACAACAGGCACACCUUGCAGAGAAAUGUUAACAGGAACAAAGAAAAACUACUACAGCUUAGCUUCAGCUCUGUUUAAGGCACCAUGAAAUACGCGAGGUACAGUGAUCCCUGAUGUACAUUCUUAAAUGGCAAUGCUCUGUCUAGCCACCUGUUCAAAUCCUACACGAAAUGGGGAUAAGUUCCAGUGAGGUGUGCCAGCUACACUGCCUAAAAUGUAUUACACAUAUCUUAGUAAUUUCACACACUUUAAUCUAAAUCACAUUAAUGCUGCAGUCUAUGAUGCCGGGGCUAAAAUAGUAGAGAACUACAUCCAAUACAGCCUCCUUUAUGACCGUCAAGGUAAAGCUCUGUGACUUAGAACUCUUUACCCAUAAUUCACUUAAAGAAAAAAAAACUUUCCGACUAUUAGUUAUUUAAGGAGUAUAACACUCUCCAUUGUUUACACUCUCUAUGAAAAUAAAUUACCAGAUGACACAAUACUUCUAGUAUGUAAACACUUCAUAAAUAGCUGUGAAGUAAACUCAAUGGUUCACAUUAAAUAUACAUUAAUUUGUUUUCAGUGCUGCUAUUUUAUGAGACAAAUGUAUCUCUAAAAAUCUAGGCUUUGUUAUGAAACAGUGUUUGCAUGAUGUUCCUUUUUGCAUUUUGCCAACAAUUGUUAAAAAAAA